CCGAGGGGGACAGUGGUUUAUUCGAAGCACGCGCAGAACCUUACCAGCCCUUGAAUGCCCGGCUCGCCACAGAGAUGUGGUUUUCCCUUCAGGGACAGGGACACAUGUGCUGCAUGGCUGUUAUCAGCUCGCGCCGUGAGAAGUUGGAUUACCUCCCUCCACAAGCGAAAAGUGAGACCUCAGUGGAACACAUAUUUUUAGGACAUUCGAUAGGGUACUGCCGAUCAACAGACCCAUUAACGGUGAGUAUAUGCUCGGCACGAGGGUUGCUAAGACCAAUUUAGAUUCUUGACAAAACUAACCUCCACAAUUCGUUGAGAAUCAAUUGGGCUAUAAGAACGAUUCUUCAUCACACAAUCACAAUUUCCAUUCCAAAUCUUUCACCCAACCAACGUAUUUCAUCUUGUGACAUUGUACAAUGUCAAUGAUCAAAUCAUCUUCGGUGUCUUUCCCGCGAGCACUCAGAGGUAUGAUACUGAUAUUCAGUAUUAUCAAAUA
rnacentral:rRNA from 1 species